GGGGCUGUAGCUCCAUGGCAGAACACCUGCUUUGCUUGCAGAAGGUCCCAGGUUCAAUUCCCAGCAUCUCCA